UGAAUACGAGAUGCUACGGCAUCGAAGCAGUCUAUGUCAUACUUCCAAGAAAAGCUUGCACUGUCAUAAACAAAUAAUGCCUGUACCAUAACCGACACAGGUGGGUAGGUAGAGUAUACUAAGGGGCGCGAGAUAACUCUCUCUAAGGAACUCGGCAAAAUGACUCCGUAACUUCGGGAGAAGGAGUGCCUUAUUUUAUAAGGUUGCAAUAACAAGAUCCAAGCAACUGUUUACCAAAAACACAGGUCUCCGCUAAGUCGUAAGACGAUGUAUGGGGGCUGACGCCUGCCCAGUGCCAGAAGGUUAAAGAAGUUGGUUAGCAUUAGCGAAGCUGAUAACUGAAGCCCUGGUGAACGGCGGCCGUAACAAUAACGGUCCUAAGGUAGCGAAAUUCCUUGUCGGGUAAGUUCCGACCCGCACGAAAGGCGUAAUGAUUUGGAUACUGUCUCGGAGAGGGGCUCGGUGAAAUAGACUUGUCUGUGAAGAUGCGGACUACCUGCACCAGGACAGAAAGACCCUAUGAAGCUUUACUGUAACUUGAGAUUGAAAUUGGACUUUAUUUGCGCAGUAUAGGUGGGAGACGUUGAAAAUAUUCUUGCGGGAAUAUUGGAGUCAUCAGUGAGAUACCACUCUUAUAAUGUUAGAUUUCUAACUUUGUAUCAUUAUCUGGUCAAAGAACAGUCUCAGGCGGGCAGUUUGACUGGGGCGGUCGCCUCCCAAACGGUAACGGAGGCGCACAAAGGUUUCCUCUGAACGUGUAGAAAUCGUAUCUAGAGUGUAAAGGCAUAAGGAAGCUUGACUGUGAGACCUACAAGUCGAGCAGGGACGAAAGUCGGUCUUAGUGAUCUGACGGUGCUGAGUGGAAAGGCCGUCACUCAACGGAUAAAAGUUACUCUAGGAUAACAGGCUGAUCUCCCCCAAGAGUUCACAUCGACGGGGAGGUUUGGCACCUCGAUGUCGGCUCAUCGCAUCCUGGGGCGGUAGUACGUCCCAAGGGUUGGGCUGUUCGCCCAUGAAAGCGGUACGCGAGCUGGGUUCAGAACGUCGUGAGACAGUUCGGUCCAUAUUCGGUGUAGGCGUUAGAAUAUUGAGAGGAGCCUUCUUUAGUACGAGAGGACCGAGAAGGACAUACCUCUGGUGUACCAGUUAUCGUGCCAACGGUAAACGCUGGGUAGCUAUGUAUGGAGAGGAUAACCGCUGAAAGCAUCUAAGUGGGAAGCCCACCUCAAGAUAAG
rnacentral:rRNA from 1 species